rnacentral:rRNA from 1 species
GACGAACGCUGGCGGCGUGCCUAACACAUGCAAGUCGAACGGGGUUAAGCGAGAGCUUGCUUGAGCUUAACUUAGUGGCGAACGGGUGAGUAACGCGUGAGAAACCUGCCUCUCAGUGGGGGACAACAGUUGGAAACGACUGCUAAUACCGCAUAACACUUUAGUACCGCAUGGUACAGAAGUCAAAGCCUUAUGUGCUGAGAGAUGGUCUCGCGUCUGAUUAGCUAGAUGGCGGGGUAACGGCCCACCAUGGCGACGAUCAGUAGCCGGUCUGAGAGGAUGAACGGCCACAUUGGGACUGAGAUACGGCCCAGACUCCUACGGGAGGCAGCAGUGGGGAAUAUUGGGCAAUGGGGGAAACCCGUGAUGCAGCAACGCCGCGUGAGUGAAGAAGUAUUUCGGUAUGUAAAAGCUCUAUCAGCAGGGAAGAAAAAAAGAACGGUACCUGACUAAAGAAAGCACCGGCUAAAUAACGUG